GUGACGAGUUUGAUCCUGGCUCAGAUUGAACGCUGGCGGCAGGCUUAACACAUGCAAGUCGAGCGGAGACUUCGGUCUUAGCGGCGAACGGGUGAGUAAUACCUAGGAAUCUGCCCAUUAGCGGGGGACAACGUUUCGAAAGGAACGCUAAUACCGCAUACGAUCUAUGGAUGAAAGCGGGGGAUCGCAAGACCUCGCGCGAUUGGAGCGGCCGAUAUCAGAUUAGGUAGUUGGUGGGGUAAAAGCCUACCAAGCCUUCGAUCUGUAGCUGGUCUGAGAGGACGACCAGCCACACUGGAACUGAGACACGGUCCAGACUCCUACGGGAGGCAGCAGUGGGGAAUUUUGGACAAUGGGCGCAAGCCUGAUCCAGCAAUGCCGCGUGCAGGAUGAAGGCCUUCGGGUUGUAAACUGCUUUUGUACGGAACGAAACGGUUCUCUCUAAUACAGGGGGCUAAUGACGGUACCGUAAGAAUAAGCACCGGCUAACUACGUG
rnacentral:rRNA from 1 species